rnacentral:misc_RNA from 1 species
GAUGAAGAACGUAGUGAAAUGCGAUACGUAAUGUGAAUUGCAGAAUUCAGUGAAUCAUCGAGUCUUUGAACGCACAUUGCGCCCCCUGGUAUUCCGGGGGGCAUGCCUGUCCGAGCGUCAUUGCUGCCCUCAAGCACGGCUUGUGUGUUGGGCCCCCGCCCCCCGGUUCCCGGGGGGCGGGCCCGAAAGGCAGCGGCGGCACCGCGUCCGGUCCUCGAGCGUAUGGGGCUUCGUCACCCGCUCCGUAGGCCCGGCCGGCGCCCGCCGGCGACCCCCCCUUAAUCUUUCCAGGUUGACCUCGGAUCAGGUAGGGAUACCCGCUGAACUUAAGCAUAUCAAUAAGCGGAGGA